GGCAUAUUAAAGGAUUUUUAUUCAUUUCUUUGGAAUGUUGUAUAGUGUUUUUACAUUAAGUAUUAACUAAAGUCGUCCUAACCUUCUUGGCUUCAAUUGUUAGUGUCAUUCCUUACCAGGUUUUGAUUAUUAAAUGGGUUGGAUACUAUAUGCAUUGUUAUGGAUGUUAAGUGUUAACAGUAUGUUUAAAUAGCCAUUUGUUUUAUCAUUAGCACGACUCAAGUCUUUUGAAUUUGUACUCCUUAUCUAGAUCAACACUAUUUAAUUCAAUCGAGCCACUUUCCAUAUAUUUGUUAGAGAAUUGCUAUGAUUUGUCUUGGGUAUAUUUUUGCUCUAUUAAUUUCGGAUACUAAUCAAUUUUUUUCAGUUCUAUUACAUGUGAUACCAAUCUGAGUUCAUUUUGGACUCAUUCCCUUCAUUUAUUUGAUUCAAAAAAUUUCGACUCAGCCCCAUCAAUGUCCG
rnacentral:misc_RNA from 1 species